AGAGUUUGAUCCUGGCUCAGGAUGAACGCUAGCGGCAGGCCUAAUACAUGCAAGCCGAACGGCAAGUCUGAUAGCAAUAUUAGACCUAGAGUGGCGUAAGGGUGCGUAACACGUAUGCAAUCUGCCCGCAACAGGAGGAUAGCUCCCCGAAAGGGGAAUUAAUACUCCAUAAGAUCAUUUGAGGGCAUCUGAGGAUGAUU
rnacentral:rRNA from 1 species